UGGAUGAAAUGCUUCUUCUCAGAUUAAGUUGUAAAAGAGUUUGGCUUCUGACUUGGAUGUGUUCCCUACCGCUCUCAUUCAUCUUCUCUUAAGGAAAGUCAGCUGCCAUAUUGUGAGCUACCCGAUAAAAAGGCAAGGGAAGGAGAAGGGCCUCCAGCUAACAGCCAGUGAAGGACUUAAGCCUUCAAACAGUCUGACAGGGACUGAAUGUUACCAAUAAAAUAGCAUUAAAUACUUAAGCUAUAGCAUUUUUCCCUGAGACUCUAUUACUCUUGAAGAAGGUACAGCCACUCCUGACCAAAAGAUUUCAUCCAGCCAACCAGAAUUGGAACUGAGAAAACCGGCAGCUCUGAUUCCCCCCAAAAAUGACAGAUUGCCAAAAGCCACAGAAAAAGGAACUUCCAGAAACGCCACAGCAUUGCUGUCACCCAAUUAUUCUGUAACGUCUGAUUUGUAGCCUAUCAACAGACUGCACUGCGUUCUUCCUAUGAUUCCCAUACAAUUUUCCAUCAGACAUCGUAAGGACCGUGUAAUACGUUCCUACUUCCGGUUUAUGGUAAAGCCACCCCAGGAAUUAGUCUUUAUGUCAACAGAUUUUCUAUUAUGCCUCCAGAAGACCUCAAAGCCACGAGGAGCAGAAUGUUUAAAGUUUACCUAUGCAACGCCAGUGAUGUGUCCCGUUACAUGUACCUUCGCUUUACCUUUUUCCUUACCAUUUGGAAAUGAAGAAAAUGAUUUUUACUUUUUGAAGUCAAGAUCGUUCAACCAUUCAAUUUUGUCAGGGUAAAAAAUCUUUAUUCUAGCCUUGCAAAUCCUUUCUCAGGGGUCUUCAAUUCCUUCUUAGUCUGCCCAGAACUGUGCUUUUAUCCAAUUCAUAGGCAGUCCGUAAGAGUGAUCACUUCUCUCCAACCCUUACGCACUGAAGGCUAAUUGUAAACAUAAACCCUUUCAGGGGCUCGAUGCCGUUGUA